GGCCUCGCGGGUCGCGGCCUCGCCGGUCGCGGCUUCGGCUGCCGUGGCGUCGGCGAGCGCGUCGGCCGCCGUGGAGCCGGUCCGCGCGGGGCCG
rnacentral:tRNA from 1 species